rnacentral:lncRNA from 1 species
GCUGCCCGACCAGAGGGACAUGCUAUUUACAGUGUCAGUGGUGUUGGGCAGCUGACAUGUUUGUUUAACUCAUGCUGAACAAGUUGAUAGUAAAUCAGGUCUCUCAUCUCUAUUUGAAAGACCAGCAUGAAAUCUUGCAUAUGUACUGUAUCAUCUUGAAAGGCUUAGUGUGAGGAUUGCUUUCAGUAUUCUCAUUUUCAGCCUUAAGAUCUCAGUUACAACUCCAGCUGCCCUUGAAUUUUAGCAUAUCUCUCAUUUCUUUCAAGCAUAACCACCCAUCACAUCUAUACUAAAAGACAAGAAUGGAAUAAUUAAUUCAGUCAGUAAGCUCAUCAACAGAUUAGCCUGAGGAACAGACUGUGUUAUUUUAAACAUUAUUUAUUUUAUAUUUAAUUUAAGGAUAUAUUCUUAAAAUAUUUUGAUAUAACUAUAUUUAAUUUUGCAUCAUUUAGAGGUACAAAUGGUUGCUGUCAGGUAGAAAAGUUUGAAAAUAGUCAAUUCAGAAUUUUCAGAACUUUUUCAUUUAGAAAAUAUGACAUAGGAAGAAUUCUUAAUAUUACAGGGGUUUUGUUUCCUCAAAGAAAAUCAAAAUAAUAGUUGAUAAAUUAUUUAAUAGCUUCUUUUUGUUCUCUUUCUCUUUUCCUUUUGCAUUUCAGAUAAAACUGUUGGGAAAGAACAUAGGACAACCUUCUAAUUGAGUGAUGAAAUAAUAAGAUCAAAUGAACCAGUCUAACAGUGCCCUCACCCAGUCCUUGAUGUCCAGUGCAGCAUUUGGAACUAAAUUCAGCCUUGUUACUGAGUUUGUGUUCACAUCUCAUGCUGCGUGGGGAAUAAAAUCUUGGGCUCCAGGGCAGGUAAGGAGACUUCUCAUCUAUCCCACAAAAACCCCGAGGUCUGUGCUCUUCCUUAGGACAGAUGUACCCACCACUUGCUUUGCAGCACUGUGAAGACAGAUGAAAUGGGGUUAUGGAAUCUUUUCCAGAAGGAUAAUGCUAUUUUUAAGGAUAGAUACUAUUUGUAAGCUCAAACCUUAUAUCUAUUGAUGCACUUUUCACUAACCUGCACACUGUCCAGUAAUUUGGCUGGAGAACACUUUUGGGUCAGUGUAGUCCAUGGGGUACAAUCAGAAUAGAUACUGUUGGUUUCAGUUUAAUGCAAUCAGUUUUUGUAAACAAUUUAAGAGACACUUAUUUUGAAGUGCAGCAAAUAACCUCUAACUGAAGGACAAAAAUACCUUGGACAUGUAUUGCUUUCAGAAAGAAAAAAAAAAACACAACAAAACAAACAAACAAAAAAAACCACCAACAAACAUAAAAAAACCCUAAUCAUAUGAGCAGAUACACUGCCUGAAGGCUUAGUGUGAAAUAAACUUGAACUAGUACUAAGAUCUAACUUCA